UGUGGAGCCAGAUUCACGUUCAGAUUCAUGCCACCGUAGCUAUGAAGCGAGGAAGCAGCAAAAGGAUCGGUCCUGGAGGCUGGUACUUGAGUGAAAUGUUCAGACCUGGCGUACAUUUCUCCAGUCAGAUCAAUUUGCUUCAGGAUGUUCUAGAGUGUAUGGAAAAUCCAGAAGCCAAAGGGGU